GCACCCGUAGCUCAGCUGGAUAGAGCGCUGCCCUCCGAAGGCAGAGGUCACACGUUCGAAUCGUGUCGGGUGCA
rnacentral:tRNA from 2 species